CGUCAAGGAGCCUAAAGAAUACUCAUAGCUAAGAAGUGCAAUUUUUUAAGACCAAAAACAACACAAAAUACAUUCCGGCAGGACUAUCAAGGUCUGAGACCAUGGACUUCCAGAGACUAAAAGCACGCACUUUCCUUCUGAAUGCUGACAAAUAAGUUUUUUUUUUUUUUUUUUUUACUGAGAUGGUCACAUAGCUGCUAGCCAAUAAACCAAGGAUUGGUGGAAAACAAACAAAAAGAGGGAGAAUGAAUGUGGGACUCCCAGGCAUUUGCAGGAGAUAUUGACAUUAUUUUAAGAAAUAUUGUGAUAACAAUGAAAUCAUAACCUUAAAACCUCAGGAAAUAUUAAGCAUUAAGUGAUGAAGGCAAGAAAAGAAGAAGAGAAUGCAUCAUAGGCAAAAUCAUAGGAAUUACAUAAAGUAGGAAAGUAAUAAAAGGGCAAAUUACACAGAAGAGAAGAAGCAAAAUCAACACAAGACAAGGACUUACUUUUUUAAAAAAUAAAGCACGCAAUCAGGACCAGAACUGCCUCAUUAAAGGGAUAAAAGAUGAUAUCUGCUGAGCUGGUGGAAACUGGUGGCUGCAUUUUUAUUAAAGUCUCUGCUGCAGCAGGCCCAGUCCCCAAAGGUUCAUAUUCCAAGACUCUCUACCCCCCCUGCCUGGAGCAUGUAAGUGUUUCUCUGUAACUCAUUAAAGUAAAA